GCCCUUUCUUAUACCCGGACUCCCUAUCACUAGGUCUUUCUCCCAUAGCCUUCCUUAUCAUCUCGCCCUUUCUCUCCCUCUCUCUCCCGUAGCCUUCCUCAUCAUCUUCUUUAUUUUGAACUUAAACCUCUCUUUUGAACCCAGAUCUAUCUCCCUCUCGUUGUAAACAACGGGCAGCCACCACCCCUUCGUCAUGCUUGUCUCUCUCCUUGAAGGUAAUUUGAAGAUAUUUUGGUAUAGAUUUUCAAUUCUCAGCCAACUAGCAGAGUAUUUGUAGCUGAGGGCCAAGAACAAGCAGAUGAAGGCCUAGGGCGAGCAGAUGAAGACCCAGAUUAGGACCCAGGACGACCAGAUGAGUAUGAUUCUACAGGCCUUAGCGAUGUCCGGUCUUAAAAUCCAGCUGCCAGCACCUAAUCUUUGUUGGAGUAAAAUCUGGUUCUCACAAGGUUUUGUGGUCUCACAAUCAUUGUACAUUACUUGAGGAUCAAGUUAUAGGAUUAGGGAAUUAACUUGGACUUUUCCGGUUGCAAAAGGAAUGUAAUAUUAAGUUGUUAUUCUUGCUAAAGGGGUUCCUAAUCCUGAUUGGUUAAGGAGAU
rnacentral:sRNA from 1 species